UAGAUCUGAUUCUUCGUUCUCCUUCUCUUAAACUCCGCCGCUCCAUAACCCUAACUCUCAAUUCGCCAUGGAGGAUGCCUAUCUGACCAGUGUAUGUUGACCCGCUAUAUUUUGACUCAUCUACGUUAUUUUCCAAAACCCUAGACAGCCUUCCUUUUCCAUUCUGCUUCAUCUCCAUUCUGGUUCACGCAUAUGCAUUCGAACGAUUCAAGCAUCAGGUAUGUUUAAACAUAAUCUCGUGUCAUCUCUGCCUCUUGAUUAUAUAUUUCGACGAAAACCCUAACCAGAGCCACUAUCACGCGACUGACAAAGAACUUGAACACUACGAAUUUCAUGGGUGGUGAUUUCCACGGGUUUUGGUUACAUUUGGUAAUGAAUGAAGAAAAAGAGGAAUCAUUGUCCUUCCGGCUACUCAAUUGGAUGAAGUUGUUCACGCUUCUCUAAGGUCACAUCUAAGAAAGAGGAUGCAACGAGGUUGGCUCAGAUGUAGAAUAAAAUAAUUACAAUUUUAUGGGAUAAAGGUUUGAUUAAUAAUAGGGAAAUAUACCUAUGACUCAUUCCAUGCUCAUCGGAUCCAUAGUGGCGCUACAUGUACUGACGCCGAAGACAACAACGGUAACUACAGUGGCGCAACAUGUCCGCCUGUUUCGUAUUUGUUCAGCAACCCAGCAUCCCACAGAAAGCAUCUAAACGCCGUCACACACAGUUGCCUUUAAAGAAGGUAACAAACUGACAUCUUAAACUGAUGUUAAACUUCUUUGUUUGGAGAAAUUAUGCGAAGUGAUUAGGAUUGUAAAUAGGGGAUACCGUGUUGGUGGCAGUAGAUUGAUAUGUUGUUGUGGUGAUGAUAAAGAUGAAAAGUGUUGAGUGUUUACUAAAUCUCCUGAGACUUUGCUCAAUGGUAAUUCUAAUUAAUUCACAUUUUCAUGUACAUGUAUUUUUUUGCUGAAUUUUUGUACUUGUGUAGAUUGUAGACUAACGCCAUCAUCUUAAAAAUAAAUGUUCAAAACUGUUUUCUUCAUUGAAGCAGUUUAUGGUUUGCAAAGAAUAGAAACCUUAGAAGUCUAUGUGUGGAGAUAGGUAUGCCUAUGCUUAAGCCAGUUAUUGUUUUUGAAGUCAGGACCCUAAGAGAUUCCAUAGGGUGCAGUUGGAGCUGAGUUUGUAAUAGUUUCUGGUGAUUAAUGGUAGAUUUGGCAUUGUUGGGCUACCGAGGUAUUGUGGGAGGUCGAAAGAGCUUGGGAAGUCUUAAAAAUCAAGGGUUUUUGCGAGUGUUUUGAAAAGAAAAAAGAGAUAAUUGGUACGGACCCCUUCUAUCGGACCUUCAUGUGGAUGAUUUUGUCCAGGAGCGGCUUCAACUUAAAAAUGUGAAAUUAUACAACCUGGCAGAAAUAAAUCCUUUGGUAGGUAUUUGAUACUUCAUAUUAUAGGUGUAAAUACUCUAUGGCAGGUAAUUAAAUGUUGUUUUAUGGUAUGCAAAAGACUAACGCGAAUAACCCCGCCGCAACAUAAUUCUAAUUUGUAGCAACAUAAAAAACUCACUACUUCUUACUAUGAUUUUUAUAGAUGUUGAAGGCCUCACCAUGAUAACAACUCAAAUGUCCGCUACCGGACUCCACAAAUGCGUUUCUUUUUCUCAACGCAAUGGAUUCCCUGAAUGCAUAGCUUUUUUUGUAAUGCAAAGCUAGCAGGCUAUUGUAAGAAAUAAUAUUUUAACAGUGUGAAACACCACGCUUCUAAAACGCUAUGUAGGUUAAUCUCCGAUGCUCUAUUAUCUAUUUCUAUUAUGUAUAACAAAUGAAAAUAAGGCUAGACAUGUGGCGUAUUUUUAAGGCAUCUCCAUUGUGAUUUUGGCACACUUUUUUUAUGUUUGUUUUAAACAGAGGGUUAUGAUUAGUGUUUUUAAAAGAACAUUAUCUGAUGUAUCACAAAGGCUGUUAUCACUUUAUGAGAACAUAAGAAGAAGAUUAUGUGAGCCUCUGAUACAAAAAUAAUCAUGAAAAAACUACAGAAACAAAGGAGACUUUUCUAACCUCCUGGGGAAUAACUUAAGACGCGAAUAAGGAGAUUUUUGAAUCUGAUGAGAUUAAGGUUGUUUCUGAAUUUGCAUCAAGGAAUCCUUUGGAGUUUUUAACUAUUGAUAUAAGAUUGUUUUAUGCCGCAUAUGGUGGUUCACUUGAAGCUAAUUUCGAGGAUGAGAGGAUGGUUAGAUAUUGUAAACUUAAGAAAAGUUUGUUUGGCUUUCUAUUUCAGACUGUUUGUUUAUUGUUUUGUGGAUAUACUCACCUUUUUGAUGAUUCUUUUAAUGUAGCUAUGAAGCAACUUGGGGAAGAGUCACUUCCUCCCAUUUAUUUGAUAUUUGAUUGUGUAAGAUUUCGAUUUACCAUUCCUUUGGUCAUCGAUUAAGGUCUCUAAUGGCGGUUUUUUGUGGGUUAGUUGAUUUCGUAGUGAAAAUCAUUUGGAAUGCCUAUUUGAAGUAUAUGAAUAUGUCACAGCUCAAGUAAACAUAGCAAUUGAGGUAUUAUCAUACUUAUUCUGUAAUGUGAUUUACUAUUCUAGGAGGUACAGUUUCAUUUUUGUGAAUAAGAUUAUCUAAAAAUUUGAUGUAUACAACUUUUAGGUAAACAUAUGAAGUCAAUCAUUUCUAUUAUCAGUAGUAAAUGAAUAAAAACCAACUAAUGCUUUUGAACGGCUAAGUUGUUUGGCUUGCUCACAGCACAUGCAAAAUUAUAAGGAGUUAGCUAGGGAUGAGCAUUUGGUACCGGGUACCGGUGCCGUACCAUACCGGUUAUUUUUGAUACCGGUACCCAUUUUUCUAUUUUUUGAUACCGGUAUUUUGGUUGAUUUACCGGUAAAUUCCGGUACCGUACCAGUUAUAUUCGGUACUGGUACCCAUUUUACAAUACUUAUACUUGGAGUUGGCUCACAAGAAAGAACAAUUGUGCACCCACACCCAUUCCUGUUGUAAUUGAAAACAAUAACAAGAAAAUUAUAAUCAGUCUUUAAAAAGAAGUCAAAUGGAUCAAAACUCUUAAAGGAGAUUUUGAUGACUAUUGUGCUAAUCAUAUAUUCAUGUAUGCUGAUCAUGAAUUUUUGGUUAUGUCUUCAUAGGACGUUGACUACUCCGGUUCAACUGAUCAAGUGUUUAAAGUCUAUAAAGAAUCAUGUUUUUAUAGCUUCUGAGUACCCUGUUGUGAUUACUCUUAAAGACCACCUUACUAUUGAUCUUCAGUCUAAAGCGGCUUCGGCCCGAUUGUACUUCCUGCUAUUUACUUUGUGGGACCAAAGUUGUCAAAGGAAAAUGUCGAAAGCUUUGAGUAUCAUUAUCUAUAUGAGCUAAGGAGCAUUCAGGAUCGGCUUCGGAAUGAGAUCCAUAGCUUCAAGAGAGAAUUUAAAGAAGGAAAACUAACUAUUGUAGAAUUGCAUUUGAGUAUAUAGAGACCGAGAAUGUGGAAGAAGAGGUUGUAAAGGAGAUGAUGACGAAGAUAAAGAACAACAGGAGCCGGAGAGUGGGUGUGUUGAAUGACCAGUCACAAAAUAGGUUCGGGUCGAAAUAUGUUACAUAUUUUUGCAACUAAAACAAUUCAAGUUGUGUUUAUAUGAGUUUAUCAAGGGUGAUCCACAUCCAAGGUAUCUUUAUUUUGCUAGAAAAAUAUCGUGUAUUAAGAACCUUAGAAUAAUUUUUAUAUGUACACGAAUCAGUUGAGAAAUUCAUGAUUGGGAGCUACAUUUUUCAGUUUAAUGUAAUUUAAUAUCUACAUAA